rnacentral:rRNA from 1 species
UACGUAGGGUGCGAGCGUUAAUCGGAAUUACUGGGCGUAAAGCGUGCGCAGGCGGCUUUGUAAGUCUGACGUGAAAUCCCCGGGCUCAACCUGGGAAUGGCGGUGGAGACUGCAAGGCUGGAAUCUGGCAGAGGGGGGUAGAAUUCCACGUGUAGCAGUGAAAUGCGUAGAGAUGUGGAGGAACACCGGUGGCGAAGGCGGCGACCUGGGUCGAGACUGACGCUGAGGCGCGAAAGCGUGGGGAGCAAAAGGG